rnacentral:rRNA from 1 species
CCGAUGUGUAGUGCGAUGUGGGGACGGAGAAGGUUAGCUCAGCCGGCAGUUGGCAUCCGCAAGGUGAUGCCGGUUCAAGCCUGUAGUCGUGCCUGGUAGGUAAAUCCGCCGGGCUUAGAUGAGGGGUGAUAACGAGGCGGCUUGCCGCCGAAGUGAGUGAUACCCUGCUUCCAGGAAAAGCCACUAAGCUUCAGCUGCACACGACCGUACCGCAAACCGACACUGGUGCGCGAGAUGAGUAUUCUAAGGCGCUUGAGAGAACUCAGGAGAAGGAACUCGGCAAAUUGACACCGUAACUUCGGAAGAAGGUGUGCCUUUAGUAGGUGAACCUGUACAAGGGGAGCCCAAUGAGGUUGCAAAAAAUCGGUGGCUGCGACUGUUUAUUAAAAACACAGCACUCUGCAAACACGAAAGUGGACGUAUAGGGUGUGACGCCUGCCCGGUGCUGGAAGAUUAAAUGAUGGGGUGCAAGCUCUUGAUUGAAGUCCCAGUAAACGGCGGCCGUAACGAUAACGGUCCUAAGGUAGCGAAAUUCCUUGUCGGGUAAGUUCCGACCUGCACGAAUCGCGUAACGAUGGCCACACUGUCUCCUCCUGAGACUCAGCGAAGUUGAAAUGUUUGUGAUGAUGCAAUCUCCCCGCGGAAAGACGGAAAGACCCCAUGAACCUUUACUGUAGCUUUGUAUUGGACUUUGAACAGAUCUGUGUAGGAUAGGUGGGAGGCUUUGAAGCAGGGUCGCUAGAUCUUGUGGAGCCAACGUUGAAAUACCACCCUGGUGUGUUUGAGGUUCUAACCUAGAUCCAUUAUCUGGAUUGGGGACAGUGCAUGGUAGGCAGUUUGACUGGGGCGGUCUCCUCCCAAAGCGUAACGGAGGAGUUCGAAGGUACGCUAGGUACGGUCGGACAUCGUGCUAAUAGUGCAAUGGCAUAAGCGUGCUUAACUGCGAGACUGACAAGUCGAGCAGAUGCGAGAGCAGGACAUAGUGAUCCGGUGGUUCUGUAUGAAGGGCCAUCGCUCAACGGAUAAAAGGUACUCUGGGGAUAACAGGCUGAUACCGCCCAAGAGUUCAUAUCGACGGCGGUGUUUGGCACCUCGAUGUCGGCUCAUCUCAUCCUGGGGCUGUAGCCGGUCCCAAGGGUAUGGCUGUUCGCCAUUUAAAGAGGUACGUGAGCUGGGUUUAAAACGUCGUGAGACAGUUUGGUCCCUAUCUUCCGUGGGCGCUGCAGAUUUGAGGAAGCCUGCUCCUAGUACGAGAGGACCGGAGUGGACACACCUCUGGUGUAUCGGUUGUCACGCCAGUGGCAUUGCCGAGUAGCUAUGUGUGGAAGAGAUAACCGCUGAAAGCAUCUAAGCGGGAAACUCGUUUCAAGAUUAGAUCUGCCGGGGCCUUGAGCCCCCUAAAGAGUCGUUCAAGACCAGGACGUUGAUAGGUCGGGUGUGGAAGCGCAGUAAUGCGUUAAGCUAACCGAUACUAAUUGCUCGUGCGGCUUGACCCA